rnacentral:rRNA from 1 species
GACGAACGCUGGCGGCGUGCUUAACACAUGCAAGUCGAACGGAAAGGCCCUGCUUUUGUUGGGUGCUCGAGUGGCGAACGGGUGAGUAACACGUGAGUAAUCUGCCCUUGACUUUGGGAUAACUUCAGGAAACUGGGGCUAAUACCGGAUAGGAGCUCCUGCUGCAUGGUGGGGGUUGGAAAGUUUCGGCGGUUGGGGAUGGACUCGCGGCUUAUCAGCUUGUUGGUGGGGUAGUGGCUUACCAAGGCUUUGACGGGUAGCCGGCCUGAGAGGGUGACCGGCCACAUUGGGCCUGUGAUACGGCCCAGACUCCUACGGGAGGCAGCAGUGGGGAAUAUUGCACAAUGGGCGGAAGCCUGAUGCAGCAACGCCGCGUGCGGGAUGACGGCCUUCGGGUUGUAAACCGCUUUCGCCUGUGACGAAGCGUGAGUGACGGUAAUGGGUAAAGAAGCACCGGCUAACUACGUG